CAGAAUUACAGUAUGGCCAUGUUUACAAUACACAUGGUGUGCAUAGUGUGUACUCCAUAGAGUUCAAGAGCGAAUGUUAAAAAAUAUGUUAACAUAGAAAUCUGUACUAGUUACUCCUCAGACAUACACUGUAAAAUCUCCCUAUUUUUGAAUACGCACAGUAAUUUUAUAAUGUUGUGUGUUAGUUGUGAUUUGGCAAAAAAUCUCUUGGUUUAGGUAAAACUAUAUUCUAUAUUUUUAACUAUGUGUGAUAAACAAUUAUGCUUUAUUUGCAACCAGCCUUUAAAUUAAAAUGUACAAAAAAAUAAAAAAUACUGAAACUGGGAUAAUACUGUAAUAAUUUAGCUACAUCGUCAGUGCAGUUAGACCGUUAAAAGAUUUGACAGUUUGUGCAAGUCUUGCGUUAGUAUUACAUCAUACAUGCAUUAAAAGCACACGAUAAUACAUGGCCCCAAAAAUGAUUAAGAAAAGACACAUGCGCUAAUUCAUAUUUUUAAGCCCAUAUCAUGUGUCUUGUCUGUCUUUUCACCGCCCAGUCAUAUGUUGACAGCUAGCGUUACCUAGCAAUAGCUUAGCAUUAGCAUCCCGGCCCAAAUAGCAUUACAUUUCCACUUUCGCUCUAUUCAAAACGCACAGUUAUUUCAGCUUUCUUUAGACCUUCCAACUCUCAAAGGGUAACACGUCACGGUUUGACUUUGGGGCUGAUAUUUCGAAAAAGAAACAUGACCGAAGACCCGAGCGACUGACCACCGGCAGAGAGGACACUUCCGGGACGAACGUGUCUGCGUCACUUUUGUACGUAGACCUCACCUCCGUUUACAGCAGCACCCAUUUCCCAUUGCCCCUAGCGGCAAGACGAACAAGCAGCAGUUCUUUGGGAAAGACACCGGAGCACGCGCUGCCGCCUCCUCCUCCGAGAAGCAGGAAGGAUCCGAACAGAAUCAUUUUAACCAUAGUCUGAAGUCCUGCAGAGACCGCGCUGAGGGCUGGUCCAAGGUACAAGUCCAUCUAUCUAUCUAUCUAUCUAUCUAUCUAUCUAUCUAUCUAUCUACCUCUACCUCUCUCUCUCUCUCUCUCUCUCUCUCUCUCUCUCUCUCUCUCUCUCUCUCUCUCUCUCUCUCUCUCUCUCUCUCUCUCUCUCUCUCUCUCUCUCUCUCUCUCUCUCUCUCUCUUUGAUUAAAAGCUUAUUCUGUAGUUUCAGGAAAUUUGAGCUCCGUGAAUGGCACUGGCAAAUAUCACAAUCAGCGUCUAAAAGGCUCUUCUGUACGUCCUAAAAGUGUAUUUCCAAAUGUUUUAUUGAUGAGACACUGCACUCUGCCAAUAGGUUACUUGUGAUCAGAGAAACAGCGGUAACAUGUCAGUACAGACCCACCCGGCCUCUGCUGUCACUGCUGCGGCGUGUGGCCCCUCCCUCUCUGCUCCCGGGGUAUCGCCUCAUGUUUAGGUAAAUCUCAUUCAUACUUUAAAGUGAGGGCAGGCUUUAGGAGGGGAGGGGUGGGGAGUUUGCUUGGGCAAUGUUUCGUUCAUUCAAGCCGGUGUCAUUGUGGACUACUCAACGUUAGUAUUAUUUUUUAUGUAUAUAAUAUUACUUUGUAAUUCCUUAUUAUAAUAAUCGUAAUUGUUAUUGAAUCCAAAUAAUUGCACAGCCCUAGUUGAUGGAUUGACAAUACGCAAAACUAAAAAUGUUAGAUUCUAUUGGUAAACAGGGCACACAUUUUCAGUCGAUGAUCUAAUGAAUAUGAGAGUGAAGGUGACGUCUGUAUAAUUAUACUCUGUUUAGAGCUCAUUUUUAUUUUACUAUAUCUUGUUUUUUCUCUUAGCUUAGCUUGUUUGCAUCCCAUUAUAAUUCAUUUAAUCAUUAUUUAUUGCCAAUCUGUUUCAUGUUGCACAAAAGUCAGUUCCUAGUUUGUAAACAAGUGAUAUUGGCAAUGAGAAGGAGUCCAGCUAAGGACUGUAUAGGCUUGGUCAUCUAAAUAAAGGCCUUUUUAAGUACUUCCUCGUGCUGUGCAUAUUUGUUUUAGAGUGCCUGGGUUUGCUGCUUUUUUUGAAAGUAAGGAGUGUAUAGUGUUGCUGGUGGAGCAGGUUGAACCAGAAGGGGAAGUUGGGAAACACAACUGGGCACAACAAAUGAAACUACUUAACGAGUCAAAUGCUCCAAAAGCCUCAGCCAAACAGUUACCGGUGCUUAAAUCUGCAACAAUGAACUGACAACGAGGUGAGUAAGAAAAUGUCUUUUUAUAUGAAUAGCAGUGCAGGCAUGUCGAGUGACAUCGUAACACUGCAAGACAGUUAUUGUGGCUGUAUCUUGAUGUUAGUGCGUAUUAUAGAGGGGUAGGUUUCCUCCCAAAAUGAUCAGCCGAUAUAGGCACUUAAAGAAAUAUGUUGUAU
ensembl:lncRNA